GACGAACGCUGGCGGCGUGCCUAACACAUGCAAGUCGAACGGAAAGGCCCUGCUUUUGUGGGGUGCUCGAGUGGCGAACGGGUGAGUAACACGUGAGUAACCUGCCCUUGACUUUGGGAUAACUUCAGGAAACUGGGGCUCAUACCGGAUAGGAUCUCCUGCUGCAUGGUGGGCGUUGGAAAGUUUCGGCGGUUGGGGAUGGACUGGCGGCUUAUCAGCUUGUUGGUGGGGUAGUGGCUUACCAAGGCUUUGAAGGGUAGCCGGCCUGAGAGGGUGACCGGCCACAUGGGGACUGAGAUACGGCCCAGACUCCUACGGGAGGCAGCAGUGGAGAAUAUGACACAAUAGGCGGGAGCCUGAUGCAGCAACGCCGCGUGCGGGAUGACGGCCUUCGGGUUGUAAACCGCUGUCGCCUGUGACGAAGCGUGAGUGACGGUAAUGGGUAAAGAAGCACCGGCUAACUACGUG
rnacentral:rRNA from 1 species